GAUGAACGCUGGCGGCGUGCCUAAUACAUGCAAGUCGAGCGAAUGGAUUGAGAGCUUGCUCUUAUGAAGUUAGCGGCGGACGGGUGAGUAACACGUGGGUAACCUGCCCAUAAGACUGGGAUAACUCCGGGAAACCGGGGCUAAUACCGGAUAACAUUUUGAACCGCAUGGUUCGAGAUUGAAAGGCGGCUUCGGCUGUCACUUAUGGAUGGACCCGCGUCGCAUUAGCUAGUUGGUGAGGUAACGGCUCACCAAGGCGACGGUGCGUAGCCGGCCUGAGAGGGUGAUCGGCCACACUGGGACUGAGACACGGCCCAGACUCCUACGGGAGGCAGCAGUAGGGAAUCUUCCGCAAUGGACGAAAGUCUGACGGAGCAACGCCGCGUGAGUGAUGAAGGCUUUCGGGUCGUAAAACUCUGUUGUUAGGGAAGAACAAGUGCUAGUUGAAUAAGCUGGCACCUUGACGGUACCUAACCAGAAAGCCACGGCUAACUACGUGCCAGCCGCCGCAGUAA
rnacentral:rRNA from 1 species